rnacentral:tRNA from 1 species
AGGGAUGUAGUUCAGUGGUUGAGUGCUUGCCUAACAUAUAAGAGACCCUGGGUUUAAUCCCCAGUACCGCCA